rnacentral:rRNA from 1 species
CAGUAGCCGCGGUAAUACGUAGGUCCCGAGCGUUGUCCGGAUUUAUUGGGCGUAAAGCGAGCGCAGGCGGUUAGAUAAGUCUGAAGUUAAAGGCUGUGGCUUAACCAUAGUACGCUUAGGAAACUGUUUAACUUGAGUGCAAGAGGGGAGAGUGGAAUUCCAUGUGUAGCGGUGAAAUGCGUAGAUAUAUGGAGGAACACCGGUGGCGAAAGCGGCUCUCUGGCUUGUAACUGACGCUGAGGCUCGAAAGCGUGGGGAGCAAACAGGAUUAGAUACCCGAGUAGUCCCUGUCUCUUAUACA